GCCUGGAUAGCUCAGUUGGUUAGAGCAUGGUGCUGAAAGCAGCAAGGUUGCAGGUUUGAUUCCCGUAUGGGAAAGCU
rnacentral:tRNA from 1 species